AUUGAACGCUGGCGGCAGGCUUAACACAUGCAAGUCGAACGAAGUGGCGAACGGGUGAGUAACGAGUAAUCAACCUGCCCUUCAGAGGGGGACAACAGGUGGAAACGACUGCUAAUACCGCAUACUGAAGGAGGGGAAUGUGUCUGAUUAGCUAGUUGGAGGGGUAAGGCCCAACCAAGGCGAUGAUCAGUAGCCGGUCGUGGAGGAUGAACGGCCACAUUGGGACUGAGACACGGCCCAGACUCCUACGGGAGGCAGCAGUGGGGAAUCUUCCGCAAUGGACGAAAGUCUGACGGAGCAACGCCGCGUGAGUGAUGACGGCCUUCGGGUUGUAAAGCUCUGUUAAUCGGGACGCGGUACCGGAAUAGAAAGCCACGGCUAACUACGUGCCAGCAGCCGCGGUAAUUC
rnacentral:rRNA from 1 species